rnacentral:tRNA from 1 species
CCAAUAAAAAAGCCGGAAUAGCUCAGUUGGUAGAGCAGAGGACUGAAA